UUAAGCGACUAAGCGUACACGGUGGAUGCCCUGGCAGUCAGAGGCGAUGAAGGACGUGCUAAUCUGCGAAAAGCGUCGGUAAGGUGAUAUGAACCGUUACAGCCGGCGAUGUCCGAAUGGGGAAACCCAGUGCAAUUCGUUGCACUAUCGUUAACUGAAUACAUAGGUUAACGAGGCGAACCGGGGGAACUGAAACAUCUAAGUACCCCGAGGAAAAGAAAUCAACCGAGAUUCCCCCAGUAGCGGCGAGCGAACGGGGAGCAGCCCAGAGUCUGAAUCAGCUUGUGUGUUAGUGGAACGGUCUGGAAAGUCCGACGGUACAGGGUGAUAGUCCCGUACACCAAAAUGCACAGGUUGUGAACUCGAAGAGUAGGGCGGGACACGUGGUAUCCUGUCUGAAUAUGGGGGGACCAUCCUCCAAGGCUAAAUACUCCUGACUGACCGAUAGUGAACCAGUACCGUGAGGGAAAGGCGAAAAGAACCCCGGCGAGGGGAGUGAAAAAGAACCUGAAACCGUGUACGUACAAGCAGUGGGAGCACCUUCGGGUGUGACUGCGUACCUUUUGUAUAAUGGGUCAGCGACUUAUAUUCUGUAGCAAGGUUAACCGUAUAGGGGAGCCGCAGGGAAACCGAGUCUUAACUGGGCGUUAAGUUGCAGGGUAUAGACCCGAAACCCGGUGAUCUAGCCAUGGGCAGGUUGAAGGUUGGGUAACACUAACUGGAGGACCGAACCGACUAAUGUUGAAAAAUUAGCGGAUGACUUGUGGCUGGGGGUGAAAGGCCAAUCAAACCGGGAGAUAGCUGGUUCUCCCCGAAAGCUAUUUAGGUAGCGCCUCGUGAAUUCAUCUUCGGGGGUAGAGCACUGUUUCGGCUAGGGGGUCAUCCCGACUUACCAACCCGAUGCAAACUACGAAUACCGAAGAAUGUUAUCACGGGAGACACACGGCGGGUGCUAACGUCCGUCGUGAAGAGGGAAACAACCCAGACCGCCAGCUAAGGUCCCAAAGUCAUGGUUAAGUGGGAAACGAUGUGGGAAGGCACAGACAGCCAGGAUGUUGGCUUAGAAGCAGCCAUCAUUUAAAGAAAGCGUAAUAGCUCACUGGUCGAGUCGGCCUGCGCGGAAGAUGUAACGGGGCUAAACCAUGCACCGAAGCUGCGGCAGCGACACUAUGUGUUGUUGGGUAGGGGAGCGUUCUGUAAGCCUGCGAAGGUGGCCUGUGAGGGUUGCUGGAGGUAUCAGAAGUGCGAAUGCUGACAUAAGUAACGAUAAAGCGGGUGAAAAGCCCGCUCGCCGGAAGACCAAGGGUUCCUGUCCAACGUUAAUCGGGGCAGGGUGAGUCGACCCCUAAGGCGAGGCCGAAAGGCGUAGUCGAUGGGAAACAGGUUAAUAUUCCUGUACUUGGUGUUACUGCGAAGGGGGGACGGAGAAGGCUAUGUUAGCCGGGCGACGGUUGUCCCGGUUUAAGCAUGUAGGCUGAUUGUCCAGGCAAAUCCGGAUAAUCAAGGCUGAGGUGUGAUGACGAGGCACUACGGUGCUGAAGUAACAAAUGCCCUGCUUCCAGGAAAAGCCUCUAAGCAUCAGGUAACAUUAAAUCGUACCCCAAACCGACACAGGUGGUCAGGUAGAGAAUACCAAGGCGCUUGAGAGAACUCGGGUGAAGGAACUAGGCAAAAUGGUGCCGUAACUUCGGGAGAAGGCACGCUGGUGUGUAGGUGAAGUCCCUGCGGAUGGAGCUGAGACCAGUCGAAGAUACCAGCUGGCUGCAACUGUUUAUUAAAAACACAGCACUGUGCAAACACGAAAGUGGACGUAUACGGUGUGACGCCUGCCCGGUGCCGGAAGGUUAAUUGAUGGGGUUAUCCGUAAGGAGAAGCUCUUGAUCGAAGCCCCGGUAAACGGCGGCCGUAACUAUAACGGUCCUAAGGUAGCGAAAUUCCUUGUCGGGUAAGUUCCGACCUGCACGAAUGGCGUAAUGAUGGCCAGGCUGUCUCCACCCGAGACUCAGUGAAAUUGAACUCGCUGUGAAGAUGCAGUGUACCCGCGGCAAGACGGAAAGACCCCGUGAACCUUUACUAUAGCUUGACACUGAACAUUGAGCCUUGAUGUGUAGGAUAGGUGGGAGGCUUUGAAGCGUGGACGCCAGUCUGCGUGGAGCCAACCUUGAAAUACCACCCUUUAAUGUUUGAUGUUCUAACGUUGGCCCCUUACCGGGGUUGCGGACAGUGUCUGGUGGGUAGUUUGACUGGGGCGGUCUCCUCCCAAAGCGUAACGGAGGAGCACGAAGGUUAGCUAAUCCUGGUCGGACAUCAGGAGGUUAGUGCAAUGGCAUAAGCUAGCUUGACUGCGAGCGUGACGGCGCGAGCAGGUGCGAAAGCAGGUCAUAGUGAUCCGGUGGUUCUGAAUGGAAGGGCCAUCGCUCAACGGAUAAAAGGUACUCCGGGGAUAACAGGCUGAUACCGCCCAAGAGUUCAUAUCGACGGCGGUGUUUGGCACCUCGAUGUCGGCUCAUCACAUCCUGGGGCUGAAGUAGGUCCCAAGGGUAUGGCUGUUCGCCAUUUAAAGUGGUACGCGAGCUGGGUUUAGAACGUCGUGAGACAGUUCGGUCCCUAUCUGCCGUGGGCGCUGGAGAAUUGAGGGGGGCUGCUCCUAGUACGAGAGGACCGGAGUGGACGCAUCACUGGUGUUCGGGUUGUCAUGCCAAUGGCACUGCCCGGUAGCUAAAUGCGGAAGAGAUAAGUGCUGAAAGCAUCUAAGCACGAAACUUGCCCCGAGAUGAGUUCUCCCUGAGACUUUAAGUCUCCUGAAGGAACGUUAAAGACGAUGACGUUGAUAGGCCGGGUGUGUAAGCGCAGCGAUGCGUUGAGCUAACCGGUACUAAUGAACCGUGAGGCUUAACCUU
rnacentral:rRNA from 1 species